GCUUGGGUGGCUCAGUUGGUUAAGCGUCUGACUUCAGUUCAGAUCAUGAUCUCACAGCUUGUGGGUUCAAGCCCUGUAUCGGGCU
rnacentral:tRNA from 1 species